UACGUAGGGUGCAAGCGUUGUCCGGAAUUAUUGGGCGUAAAGAGCUCGUAGGCGGUCUGUCGCGUCUGCUGUGAAAACUCGGGGCUUAACCCCGGCCUGCAGUGGGUACGGGCAGACUAGAGUGCGGUAGGGGAGACUGGAAUUCCUGGUGUAGCGGUGAAAUGCGCAGAUAUCAGGGGGAACACCGAUGGCGAAGGCAGGUCUCUGGGCCGAUACUGACGCUGAGGAGCGAAAGCGUGGGGAGCGAACAGG
rnacentral:rRNA from 1 species